AGCUGUGCACAAGGAGAUGUUCAUUAUGGUUCAGGAGGAGCGACGUCUACGAAAGGCCCUUUUGGAGAAGGGCGUCACGGAGGCUGAGCGAGAGGCUUUUGAGCUGCUCCCAGAUGAUGAACGCCAGUGCAUCAAGUGCAAGACCACGUGCUUCUUGUCAGCCCUGGCCUGCUACGACUGCCCAGAUGGCCUUGUAUGCCUUUCCCACAUCAAUGACCUCUGCAAGUGCUCUAGUAGCCGACAGUACCUACGGUAUCGGUACACCUUGGAUGAGCUCCCCACCAUGCUGCAUAAACUGAAGAUUCGGGCUGAGUCUUUUGACACCUGGGCCAACAAAGUGCGAGUGGCCUUGGAGGUGGAGGAUGGCCGUAAGCGCAGUGAGUGACGGGAAAUGGAAGGAACCCUUGUGUAAGCCUUAUUUCUUUCUUUUGGGUAUUCUUAACCUUCAUUUUCUGCUAACACUGCCUACCUGUUGCAACUUACACUCUCCAGGCUUUGAAGAGCUAAGGGCACUGGAGUCUGAGGCUCGUGAGAGGAGGUUUCCUAAUAGUGAGCUGCUUCAGCGACUGAAGAACUGCCUGAGUGAGGUGGAGGCUUGUAUUGCUCAAGUCCUGGGGCUGGUCAGUGGUCAGGUGGCCAGGUACGUGAGAGGAGAAGGCAAAGAAGGGUGUCAGUGUGUGAAAAUGAAUAACAAAAAUGGAUAGACUAUAAACACACAAUCCUGUUUGAGGCUGAGGCAGGAGAAUUGUUUGAACCCAGGAGACAGAGGUUGCAGUGAGCCAAGAUGGCAUCAUUGCACUCCAGCCUGGGCAGCAAGACCAAACUCCAUCUCAAAACAACAGCAAAAAAAAAGAA
rnacentral:sRNA from 1 species